rnacentral:rRNA from 1 species
UACGUAGGGUGCAAGCGUUGUCCGGAAUUAUUGGGCGUAAAGAGCUCGUAGGCGGUUUGUCGCGUCUGCUGUGAAAACGCGAGGCUCAACCUCGCGCCUGCAGUGGGUACGGGCAGACUAGAGUGCGGUAGGGGAGAUUGGAAUUCCUGGUGUAGCGGCGGAAUGCGCAGAUAUCAGGAGGAACACCGGUGGCGAAGGCGGGUCUCUGGGCCGAUAUUGACGCUGAGAAGCGAAAGCGUGGGGAGCAAACAGG